GGAGCCGGCCUUCCCCGCGGCCCGAGCGGCCCGGAGCUCGAGGAACUCGUUCGCUAGUUUCGAGGACGGUUAGGAGCGCGGCCAACGCCCGCUUUUUCCUGAGACCUGAGGCCCGAGAUGGCGAGCAGGCCGCCCUCCGCCUCCCCGGGGCUGGGGCGCCCAUAGCGACAGGCCGGGGGCGCCGCCGACGGAGGCGGGGUCUGGCCGGGCGCCCGCGUCGUCCUUGAUUGUCCUGUGAAGCGAAGUGUGAUGGGACAGCUUCUUUUCAGCUUUAUGAAAACGGAGACAGAGAGGAGCUGACUCUUGGCAAGCAAGGUCACAGGACUGGAAUACAGAGCCCAGUGGCCCUAGGACACGCGGGAUCAUCGGAAGGGGAAAGCCGAGCGGGGGUGAAGAGAAGUAACUGCUGUCCUGAGGCCGCAGCAGCAAGGGGCCAGGACGGAGGAGGAAGACCCAGGCAAUCCUGUCCACCUGGGCCUUGGCCGGGGACCCAGGGAAAUGUGCCCCAAGCCAUCCCUUAGGGGCCUCUGCAUCUGUUGCCUGUUGGCCUAAUCUCCUUCUCCACCACUUCUGUCUCUGUCACACCUUGCCAGGCCUAUUCUAGGUCUGGGGUGCUGUGUGACACUCUGGCCAGGCCUCUGGCAAGUGGAGGCUCUUCAUCUGCAUUUCCACCCUCAGGGACCAAGGGCAGCACGCUGGGAAGGUGCCAGAGCAAGGGGCGCCAGCCUUCUAGGAGUUAACGACUCCCUCUCCCCAGCUGUCCUCCCCUUGGUGCUCCUCUUCCUCCCUCCUCCUGCUCACAGCAGGCAGGGCCUGGACCCGGGAGCCAUGCUGCUGUGCUGUUGCCAGGGGAGCCCGGAGGCAGAUCUGAGCUAUGCAGGGAAAAGGCCCGGCCUGUCAAAGUGUCUGAGAUGAACCGCCGCCGUCCCUGUGCAGCUGGGCUCAGACGUGUCUCAGCUCUUGUUCUGUGCCUGAGAAUGGCGAAGCCCAGUGAGGUUCAAGGGCAAACUCUCUAUUCAUUAGUCAGGGGUUCUUGACGUCCCGUCUCUCCCAGGGAUGGGUUCCCCCCCCCUUCUCUCCCUCCUGUGACACAUUCCUGGGUGCCUUUGGUGAGGAUUGCAUACCCUCCUCCUGCCCAACCCCCUCUCCAAAGGCCCCUGAAUAAACUCCCCCCAAGGAGACCAGGCAGGGCAGAGACAAUGGCUGCAGGAAAUCAUUCAGGCGGGACCCCAGCCUUGCUGGCCUGCCCUCCUCUCCCAGUGUCCCUCUGGGCCCCACUCCCCUCUGACUGAGGGCACCCUUGGGCUACAAGCCUGCACAGGCCCAGACAGGAAGAAAGCACUGGGCAUGGCCCUGAGAACAGCAGGCCAGUCCAGCACCUUUGUCGGUGGGCUCCUUGGGUGCCUCUGUGGCCUGCGUUUCCUACUGCCUGGCUAUUUUUGUGCUUUCUGUACCAUCAUGUGCCUAUUUUAAGAGACUCUCAAACACUGUUAGUUGGGGAAUGUAAAUUACAAAAUGUUUUCUGAAACACGGCAAUAUCCAAAUGUAAAAGGCACUUAUACUUGGUCACAAAUUGCACUACUAGGGACUUACUCUGUGAGUAUUUAUAAAAGUUCCCGAAGCAGUAUGUACAGGAUGCUCAUCAGAGCUUUUCUUUUUAAGAGUGCAAAGAAAUGGAAAUGAACCUGCGGUUCAUACUGUGGAAUACUACGCAGCUGUAAAAAUCGACGUGGUAGAUCUCUGUAUCCGAGCUGAUAAGGAAGGUUGGCCACUUUAUGUUACUGGGCAAACAGAAUGAGUUGCACAACAGGCAAUAGAGUGUGAUUCUUAUUUGUGUAUAUUUAAAAGUCAUAAGUAUGCUCUUUAUGGAUAGUUUCUGGAAAUAUGUAUUAGAAGGCCACCUCUGGGGAGGGGGGAUAGAGGAGUUUUCUUUCUAUGAUCGUAAAAUAAUUUUAUUAAAAAAUGCAAAGCAACUAUUUAA